rnacentral:rRNA from 1 species
UAUUGGUCAAUGGCCGGAAGGCUGAACCAGCCAAGUCGCGUGAGGGAAUAAGGCCCUAUGUUUCGUAAACCUCUUUUGUCAGGGAGCAAAGGCGUCCACGUGUGGACGAAAGGAGAGUACCUGAAGAAAAAGCAUCGGCUAACUCCGUGCCAGCAGCCGCGGUAAUACGGAGGAUGCGAGCGUUAUCCGGAUUUAUUGGGUUUAAAGGGUGCGCAGGCGGUCGGUUAAGUCAGCGGUAAAAGCCCGGGGCUCACCCCCGGCCCGCCGUUGAAACUGGCAGUCUCGAGUUGGAGAGAAGUAUGCGGAAUGCGCGGUGUAGCGGUGAAAUGCAUAGAUAUCGCGCAGAACUCCGAUUGCGAAGGCAGCAUGCCGGCUCCACACUGACGCUGAGGCACGAAAGCGUGGGUAUCG